UACAGAGGGGGCAAGCGUUGUUCGGAAUUACUGGGCGUAAAGGGCGCGUAGGCGGUUUCGCAUGUCCGAUGUGAAAGCCCACCUCUUAAAGGUGGAAUUGCAUCGGAAACUGCGAGACUAGAGUGCCGGAGAGGGUGGUGGAAUUCCUGGUGUAGAGGUGAAAUUCGUAGAUAUCAGGAGGAACACCGGUGGCGAAGGCGGCCACCUGGACGGUUACUGACGCUGAGGCGCGAAAGCGUGGGGAGCAAACAGG
rnacentral:rRNA from 1 species